rnacentral:rRNA from 1 species
UGGGGAAUCUUGCACAAUGGGGGCAACCCUGAUGCAGCGACGCCGCGUGAGCGAUGAAGCCCUUCGGGGCGUAAAGCUCUUUCGACCGGAACGAUAAUGACGGUACCGGGAGAAGAAGCUGCGGCUAACUACGUGCCAGCAGCCGCGGUAAUACGUAGGCAGCAAGCGUUGUUCGGAGUUACUGGGCGUAAAGAGUGCGUAGGCGGUUUUCUAAGUUCGGUGUGAAAUCUCCCGGCUUAACUGGGAGGGUGCGCCGAAGACUGGGAAGCUGGAGUGUGGUAAAGGCAGGCGGAAUUCCUGGUGUAGCGGUGAAAUGCGUAGAUAUCAGGAGGAACACCGGCGGUGUAGACGGCUUGCUAGACCAUAACUGACGCUGAGGCACGAAAGCGUGGGUAGCAAACA